UGGGGAAUUUUGGACAAUGGGCGAAAGCCUGAUCCAGCCAUGCCGCGUGAGUGAAGAAGGCCUUCGGGUUGUAAAGCUCUUUUGUCCGGGAGGAAAUCCCGUAACCUAAUACGUUGCGGGGAUGACAGUACUGGAAGAAUAAGCACCGGCUAACUACGUGCCAGCAGCCGCGGUAAUACGUAGGGUGCAAGCGUUAAUCGGAAUUACUGGGCGUAAAGCGUGCGCAGGCGGUUUGAUAAGUCAGAUGUGAAAUCCCCGGGCUUAACCUGGGAACUGCGUUUGAAACUGUCAAGCUAGAGUACGUCAGAGGGGGGUGGAAUUCCACGUGUAGCAGUGAAAUGCGUAGAGAUGUGGAGGAACACCGAUGGCGAAGGCAGCCCCCUGGGAUGAUACUGACGCUCAUGCACGAAAGCGUGGGGAGCAAACA
rnacentral:rRNA from 1 species